rnacentral:rRNA from 1 species
ACGGCCACACUGGAACUGAGAUACGGUCCAGACUCCUACGGGAGGCAGCAGUGGGGAAUAUUGCACAAUGGAGGGAACUCUGAUGCAGCGACGCCGCGUGAGUGAAGAAGGUCUUCGGAUCGUAAAACUCUGUCCUUGGUGAAGAAAAGGACGGUAGCCAAGGAGGAAGCCCCGGCUAACUACGUGCCAGCAGCCGCGGUAAUACGUAGGGGGCGAGCGUUGUCCGGAUUUACUGGGCGUAAAGGGUGAGUAGGCGGUUAUAUAUGUCAGGUGUAAAAGAUCAUGGCUCAACCAUGGUUGGCACUUGAAACUGUAUGACUUGAGUGCAGGAGAGGUAAGCGGAAUUCCUAGUGUAGCGGUGAAAAUGCGUAGAUAUUAGGAGGAACACCAGUGGCGAAGGCGGCUUACUGGACUGUAACUGACGCUGAGACACGNAAAGCGUGGGUAGCAAACAGGAUUAGAUACCCUGGUAGUCCACGCUGUAAACGAUGAGUGCUAGGUGUUGGGUAGCGAUAUUCAGUGCCGGAGUAAACACAAUAAGCA